AUUGAACGCUGGCGGAAUGCUUUACACAUGCAAGUCGAACGGCAGCACGGGGGCAGCCCUGGUGGCGAGUGGCGAACGGGUGAGUGAUACAUCGGAACGUGCCCGGUCGUGGGGGAUAACGUAGCGAAAGUUACGCUAAUACCGCAUACGAUCUGAGGAUGAAAGCGGGGGACCUUCGGGCCUCGCGCGAUCGGAGCGGCCGAUGUCAGAUUAGGUAGUUGGUGGGGUAAAGGCCUACCAAGCCGACGAUCUGUAGCUGGUCUGAGAGGACGACCAGCCACACUGGGACUGAGACACGGCCCAGACUCCUACGGGAGGCAGCAGUGGGGAAUUUUGGACAAUGGGCGCAAGCCUGAUCCAGCCAUUCCGCGUGCAGGACGAAGGCCUUCGGGUUGUAAACUGCUUUUGUACGGAACGAAAAGGCUCUGGCUAAUACCUGGGGCUCAUGACGGUACCGUAAGAAUAAGCACCGGCUAACUACGUG
rnacentral:rRNA from 1 species